UACAGAGGGUGCGAGCGUUGUUCGGAAUCAUUGGGCGUAAAGCGCUUGUAGGCGGCUUGUUAAGUCGCGUGUGAAAUCCCUUGGCUCAACCAAGGAAGUGCGCGCGAAACUGGCGAGCUCGAGUGCCGGAGAGGGUCGCGGAAUUCCCGGUGUAGAGGUGAAAUUCGUAGAUAUCGGGAGGAACACCAGUGGCGAAGGCGGCGACCUGGACGGACACUGACGCUGAGACGCGAAGCGUGGGAGAA
rnacentral:rRNA from 1 species